rnacentral:lncRNA from 1 species
GAACAGAGAGAGCCUGCUGCCUCCACCUCUUGUUCUAGUUCGCUUUUAUAUGCCAAGAGGGACAAAUUGUUCCUCUAAUUUGAUAGGGGUAAUGAGGCUUAUUCUCUUUGAAGGGUCAUGAAUUUCUUUGGCAAGUUUGUGAUGACGAAAGGGAUAUCUAGAAUAUUGCCAUUAGGAAAAUCCAAACAAAUUCCCAUCUUUUAUGUAGGUUUAAAAAUUUUUUUUGAUAGGGGAGAUGCCUCAAGUUGACCAUUUGGUGUUUGUGGUGCAUGGCAUUGGACCUGUGUGUGACUUACGCUUUAGGAGCAUUAUUGAGUGUGUGGAUGAUUUUAGGGUGGUUUCUCUCAAAUUGCUGCGGACACAUUUCAAGAAAUCUUUAGAUGACGGGAAAGUAAGCAGAGUGGAGUUCCUUCCAGUUCAUUGGCAUAGUUCUUUGGGUGGGGACGCCACAGGUGUGGACAGGAAUAUUAAGAAAAUCACUUUGCCAAGUAUUGGUCGAUUUCGUCACUUUACCAAUGAAACUUUGCUAGAUAUUUUAUUUUAUAACAGCCC